UACAGAGGUCCCGAGCGUUAGGCGGAAUCACUGGGCUUAAAGCGUGUGUAGGCGGAUGCCUAAGUACCUUGUGAAAUCCCACAGCUUAACUGUGGAACUGCUCGGUAUACUGGGUGUCUUGAGCCAGAUAGGGGCGACCGGAACAGACGGUGGAGCGGUGAAAUGCGUAGAUAUCGUCUGGAACGCCAAUGGUGAAAACAGGUCGCUGGGUCUGUGCUGACGCUGAGACACGAAAGCCAGGGGAGCAAACGGG
rnacentral:rRNA from 1 species